CCAACCCAAAAUGGUUAGGGUUUCUAUGGGCAGGAUGCAGCCCGCUCAAACUUUGGGCUGGGCAUUAGGCAGGAAGCCAGGAAGCCAGCCGUAUCUAUGUGCACCCCUAGCCUCUAGGCCUAACUCCUUCUACAUCUUCCGACAAUGGUCGGUGUAUUUCACUUGGUGGUGAAUGGUGAUUCCCACAUUCUCCAUUGUUGAGGCAGUGAUAGACUCAUCUUUGCCAUCGUAUCAGCACGUCAAUUUCCUUCCUGAUAAAUAUGCUCAAACUCCAGUUGCCAUUCUCUCCGUAUUAGCUCCUCUAUCAUGCUCGUUAAUCUUCUGUCCCCUUCUAUUUCUUUGUACUCCCUGAUCUGGUUAAUGCUCUUCUUUGCAUCUGAUUCAACUUGGAUUUUUCGGAGUCCCAAGUUCCAACAAAGCUUCAGUCCCUCUAUGAGACCCCAGACUUCUGCCAUUGCUGCAUCCUGAACCUCUAAUCUACAGGAAAAACCCCCAAGCCUUUCUGCUUCACUACCGUGUAUAACCUUGCCACACCCAGUUCUUCCUUCCCCUGAUAGAAGAGAGGGAGCCGGUUUGAGUGUAGCAACAAAGAGACCCAACCUUCACUGGUGCUUAGUGGGAAGAUUGCAACCUUGAUUUUCAAAUAAUCUCAACAAUUGGUAAGUAAAAAUAAAAGCCUUUAUUAAAUUUGUUUCUCUUUACUCCUCUUCUCUUCGGUUUUUGAACCUAACCAAAUCAUUCAUUCAUUUGCCUAGCCAUCAAACCCUUCUUUCUCAUGCUCUUCUCACUUGUUGAUCAGUGCACGCCAGCAUCCCUUACCUACCCUUUUGUAUUACUUCUUUUCUCUCCCUUUUUAUUUUUCUCUGGUCCACUGCAUCUCCAUUCUCUCCGUCCGAUUCUUGCCAAGUGGUGACUUCUUGGGCUUGUCGCCAGUGAGUUCGUGCCGUGUGCUGUGAUCUCUGGUCGCCGGAUCUACGCUGCUCGCUGAAUCUACUUUGCUGCUAACGGUUGCCUUGUUUGCCUACACAAUCGUAUUUAAUGUCAUACCCAAAAAGGAGUUGGAGUUGGCCUCUUCUUCCUGUUGAGGAAGAAGAACACAAGCGCUUGGUUAUUGCUUGGGAUGAGGUGAGCUCUUUGUCCCCUUACCGCCAGAGCCACAGAGUCAGAGCGACUCCUAAGAAGAAAGCCACAGUCAACAACUGUUCAUUUGCUUCUGUUGGUAUUGCAUUCAAAAAAUUGGCCAAACUCAAGCUUUCUUCCAAGUUGGAAAGUGAUGCAGGAACUUUCAUAAUGCGUGACAAAUAUUUUCGAAAAUUUUUCUUAAUGAUCAGACCCAAACAAACCGUGAUUCGGUUCCUCAAAAAUUACAGCAGAAAAGAAUUCCUCAGAUUCCUCAAAAAUCUUGGGAGCAAGAGGAGGAGGGGGAGGAGGAAGAGAGCAUAGACUAAUAUUAUAUUUUAUGUUUUGAUUCACGGGUGAUUAGUAAUUAUUCAUGAACUGGCAUGUCGUUUCGGACGCACGGAGAGUUUGUAAAUCUUAAAUCAUUAUAUUUUGAUUAUCUUCUAUUUUGGACCA